AUCGCUCCAAUGUGAUGUUCUUCGCAAGCGCGCUGCUCCAGGCCGAUGAAUCCGAGUGCCCGGAGGUGGAGAUCGCGGCGGAUGUGGACGUCGUGACGCUGCCAUUCUCGUCGGGCACCACCUCGCUGCCCAAGGGCGUGGAGCUGACGCACAAGAACCUCAUCACUUGUAUCGCGCAGCUCGUCGAUGGCGAGAACCCUAAUCUCUUCCUCCAUGGCAACGAUCGCAUGCUGUGCGUUCUUCCCCUCUUCCACAUCUACUGCCUCAGCUGCGUCCUCUUCGCGUCCCUCCGCGCCGGCGCCGCGAUCGUGGUCAUGCGCAAGUACGAGAUCGGCGCCAUGCUGGGAGCGAUCCAGCGCUUCCAGGUCACGGCGGCGAGCCUGGUGCCACCGAUUCUCCUGGCGCUGGCCAAGAAUCCCGUCGUCGGCGACUACGAUCUCUCCUCGCUGCGAUUCAUCAUGUCCGGGGCCGCGCCGCUGGGCAAGGAGCUGGAGCGAGCCAUCGGCGACAAGCUCCCCAGCGCGAUCAUCGCUCAGGUCAGUCAGGAUCCAUCGAUCGUGAAGAUAUUUCGAUCGAUCCAUGAAUAUUUCGAUCGAUUCGUGGAGGAUCCCGGGAGGAUCCAUGAUAUUAGAAGAACGAGCUUGUACUGAUGGUGUGGUUUUCAUCGACAGGGAUACGGGAUGACCGAAGCCGGCCCUCUCAUCUCGAUGAGCCUGGCCUUCGCCAAGACGCCAUUCGCGAUCAAGUCGGGCUCUUGCGGCACGAUCGUACGCAACACCGAGGCCAAGAUCGUGGACACCGAGACGGGCGAGUCGCUGGCGUAUGGCGUGUGUGGCGAGAUUUGCCUCCGCGGUCCCCAGAUCAUGAAGGGCUACCUCCGCAAUGUGGAAGCCACCAUGGCGACCAUCGACAAGGAGGGAUGGCUCCACACCGGCGACGUGGGAUUCAUCGACCGCGACGAGGAGCUCUUCAUUGUGGAUCGUGUCAAGGAGCUCAUCAAGUUCAAGGGGUUCCAGGUAGAAAGAGAAGAGUUUGCUAAUGAAAACUUUGGCAUUCUUCGUGCAUCCAGGUUGCGCCAGCGGAGAUCGAAGCGCUCUUGGUCUCGCAUCCACGGAUCUGUGAUGCUGCAGUCGUGGGGUAUGUACGAUUUUCUCGAAGAUUAUCUUCUCUGAUGAUGGAUGGAUGUUCCAGCAAGAGCGACGAAGUGGCUGGGGAGUUGCCGGUCGCGUUCGUGGUGCGAAGCCCCGGCAUUUUGCGCGUCUCGGAGGACGACGUCAAGCAAUUCAUUGCGAAACAGGUGAGGCGCCGCAAUUUCAACAUCCGUUCUUUUCCUGGGUCAGCUCAUUGAAAGCUUGUCUCGAAACAGGUCGUGUUCUACAAAAGGUUACACUCGGUCAUCUUCGUGGACUCCAUCCCCAAAUCCGCCGCUGGAAAGAUUCUGCGGAAGGUCCUCAAGAGCGUGCUCUCGACAAACUAGUUUAACAUCAAGCCAUGGAUCGCCAGCUUUUGACUUUGCGCGGAACCAGCUCGAGCCUUUGACGUAUGUUCCAUUAUACGAGGCUAUGGUGGGCGAUGAAACAAUUGACUUCACAGUGUAGGUGGCCCCUCUCCAGCAGUCAGUCCCUCACCCUAUAUAUUGUAUAACUCUCCAAUCACUUCAAUCAAACAAGAGCCCAGGAAGAACCUACUCACACAGCUUGUUGUGCUGCAACUCAAUGUUGCGUGGUUUCUUGCACUGCGACGUGCACGAUCGAGCAAGAUCUCUAUUCGAGACAAAGCCGCUGAGAGAUCUGGUGACUUGGACGACGAUGAUCCAUGCCUUCUUAGCAAGAACAGGAGAUUCACGCUUUGCUCUAGCACGACAUCACCUCUGCCAAUGCAGCAUUGGCCGCUUUCGCCCAAAACGGGCAUAUGGACUCCGCAAAAGCUCUGCUCGAAAAGCAUGGAAUCUAGAGACUUGGUACCUCUAUGCUCACAAACGAGCACCAGGUCGAGGAAGCAAAGGUCUCCUUCGACCGCGAUGAUCGCCAAUGUGGAGACACCGAGUCUUCCAAGUCGCUGUUUGAUUGCUGUCCAGGCACAAAUCUAUCGUCGUGGAACUUACUGCUACAAGCCUACGUCCAAAACGGGCAUAUUGACGCAGCCGAGGGAGUGUUUGAGAGUAUGCCCGAGCACAGCCCCACCUCUCACAAGCUCAUGGUCCACCCUGGAAGGGCAUAUACCAGGCGUGGAAUAUGCGUGGGCGAGCUCACCGUCGAGUGAUGUGGUUCUCACGACUGCCGUGUGCGUAGCAUAUGCCCAAGCUGGGCAUCCGGAGAGAUCGAUGGCUGUGUUCAAGAGUAUGCCACAGCAGCCAACCGCGGCCGCCAUGCUCACGAGCCUGGCAUAUUCUGGGGACGCCGUGAAGAUCCAGGGGAUAUGCCAUGAUGCGGUGGUGUUCAAGAGCGUGCUGAUUGCGUGUGUUCAUAUCGGGGUGCUGCGGCUUGCGAUUGAGCAGUUUGUGUCGAUGAGCUUUGAUUUUGGGCUUGGGCCUGGAAAAGAGCAUUACAGGUGCGUGCUCAACAUUUUGGCGAGGGUGGGUCAGCUCGAGCUUGCGGAAGAUUUGAUCGCCAACAUGCCGUUUGAGGAUGACAUGGUGGAUUGGGAGGCAUUGCUUGCCGCGUGCGUUGUUCAUAACGAUCGGCAACGAGGGAAAAGACUUGCUGCGACGUUUCGAAGAAGAACUACUGUUGCUCAUGUUUUGCUAGCGCAACACGGUUUUUACAGUCAACGUGAUCAGUGUUUGUCUGGUUUUGAUGUUGCUUGUGGAAAUUAUCGCUCAGUGACAAAAACAACGAGACAAUAGAAUAGAAAACAAGGAUUCAAUAGUUACAAAUCAACAAUGUUUCACACGAUAUAACAUGGUUGAAUUUCCAUUUAAUUACCAAAAACGUAGUCUUCGCACCAUACCAAACAUUGCGGCUGGGGCUCAAAACUGUCCUUUUGGCCACCCUGUCCGUACAUAGACUAUAAAGUUAUGUUCUUCUCUUGGAAUCUCAUAAGCAACAUUGUUUUCUCUCACAGAAGGAUGGCCACCAACACCCAAGAGUAUAUCUUUAGAUCCAAGCUGCCAGAUAUCGAGCUUGAGAAUCACUUGCCUCUCACGGAGUACUUGUUCCAGCGCCAUCAGGGCAAAGCUUCGAGCCGCCCCUGCCUGAUCGAUGCCGAGGCGGGCAGAGUUCUCAGCUAUGGCGACGUGGAUCUUCUCGCGCGGCGCGUUGGCGCGGGGCUGUCGCGCCUCGGCAUCCGCAAGGGCGACGUCGUCAUGCUCCUCCUCCCGAAUUGCAUCGAAUUCGUGCUCGCGUUCCUUGGCGCGGCGAGAAUCGGCGCCACCGUCACCACCGCCAAUCCACUGUGCACGGCCAGCGAGAUUGAGAAGCAGGCCAGCGGCUCCGGUGCCCGGAUGAUCGUGACGCAGGCUGCGCAGAUCGACAAGCUCGAUCGCCUCCUCCACCAGGAUGAUCAAGAGCGCGAAAUAUGUGUAAUGCUGGUGAGCGAUGGCUUCGAUCCCAUCAAGGCCGCGGCGAAGAGCGCCGAUCGCUCCAAUGUGAUGUUCUUCGCAAGCGCGCUGCUCCAGGCCGAUGAAUCCGAGUGCCCGGAGGUGGAGAUCGCGGCGGAUGUGGACGUCGUGACGCUGCCAUUCUCGUCGGGCACCACCUCGCUGCCCAAGGGCGUGGAGCUGACGCACAAGAAUCUCAUCACUUGUAUCGCGCAGCUCGUCGAUGGGGAGAACCCUAAUCUCUUCCUCCAUGGCAACGAUCGCAUGCUGUGCGUUCUUCCCCUCUUCCACAUCUACUGCCUCAGCUGCGUCCUCUUCGCGUCCCUCCGCGCCGGCGCCGCGAUCGUGGUCAUGCGCAAGUACGAGAUCGGCGCCAUGCUGGGAGCGAUCCAGCGGUUCCAGGUCACGGCGGCGUGCCUGGUGCCACCGAUUCUCCUGGCCCUGGCCAAGAAUCCCGUCGUCGGCGACUACGAUCUCUCCUCGCUGCGAUUCAUCAUGUCCGGGGCCGCGCCGCUGGGCAAGGAGCUGGAGCGAGCCAUCGGCGACAAGCUCCACGGCGCGAUCAUCGCUCAGGUCAGUCGGGAUCAAUCGAUCGCGAAGAUAUUUCGAUCAAUUCGUGGAAGAUCCAUGAUAUUUCGAUCGAUUCGUGGAGGAUCCCGAUCGAUUCUUGGAGGAUCCAUGAUAUUUCGAUUCUUGCAAGAACGAGCUUGUACUGAUGGUGUGAUUUUCAUCGACAGGGAUACGGGAUGACCGAAGCCGGCCCUCUCAUCUCGAUGAGCCUGGCCUUCGCCAAGACGCCAUUCGCGAUCAAGUCGGGCUCUUGCGGCACGAUCGUACGCAACACCGAGGCCAAGAUCGUGGACACCGAGACGGGCGAGUCGCUGGCGUAUGGCGUGUGUGGCGAGAUUUGCCUCCGCGGUCCCCAGAUCAUGAAGGGCUACCUCCGCAAUGUGGAAGCCACCAUGGCGACCAUCGACAAGGAGGGAUGGCUCCACACCGGCGACGUGGGAUUCAUCGACUGCGACGAGGAGCUCUUCAUUGUGGAUCGUGUCAAGGAGCUCAUCAAGUUCAAGGGGUUCCAGGUAGAAAGAGAAAAGUUUGCUAAUGAAAACUUUGGCAUUCUUCGUGCAUCCAGGUUGCGCCAGCGGAGAUCGAAGCGCUCUUGGUCUCGCAUCCACGGAUCUGUGAUGCUGCAGUCGUGGGGUAUGUACGAUUUUCUCGAAGAUUAUCUUCUCUGAUGAUGGAUGGAUGUUCCAGCAAGAGCGACGAAGUGGCUGGGGAGUUGCCGGUCGCGUUCGUGGUGCGAAGCCCCGGCAUUUUGCGCGUCUCGGAGGACGACGUCAAGCAAUUCAUUGCGAAACAGGUGAGGAGCCGCAAUUUUCAACAUCCGUUCUUUUCCCGGGUCAGCUCAUUGAAAGUUUCUUUUUGUCUUGAAACAGGUUGUGUUCUACAAAAGGUUACACUCGGUCAUCUUCGUGGACUCCAUCCCCAAAUCCGCCGCUGGAAAGAUUCUGCGGAAGGUCCUCAAGAGCGUGCUCUCGACAAACUAGUUUAACAUCAAGCCAUGGAUCGCCAGCUUUUGACUUUGCGCGGAACCAGCUCGAGCUUUUGACAUAUGUUCCAUUAUACGAGGCUAUGGUGGGCGAUGAAACAAUUGACUUCACAGUGUAGGUGGCCCCUCUCCAGCAGUCAGUCCCUCACCCUAUAUAUUGUAUAACUCUCCAAUCACUUCAAUCAAACAAGAGCCCAGGAAGAACCUACUCACACAGCUUGUUGUGCUGCAACUCAAUGUUGCGUGGUUUCUUGCACUGCGACGUGCACGAUCGAGCAAGGAGACAAAGCCGCUGAGAGAUCUGGUGACUUGGACGACGAUGAUCCAUGCCUUCUUAGCAAGAACAGGAGAUUCACGCUUUGCUCUAGCACGACAUCACCUCUGCCAAUGCAGCAUUGGCCGCUUUCGCCCAAAACGGGCAUAUGGACUCCGCAAAAGCUCUGCUCGAAAAGCAUGGAAUCUAGAGACUUGGUAUCUCUAUGCUCACAAACAAGCACCAGGUCGAGGAAGCAAAGGUCUCCUUCGACCGCGAUGAUCGCCAAUGUGGAGACACCGAGUCUUCCAAGUCGCUGUUUGAUUGCUGUCCAGGCACAAAUCUAUCGUCGUGGAACUCACUGCUACAAGCCUACGUCCAAAACGGGCAUAUUGACGCAGCCGAGGGAGUGUUUGAGAGUAUGCCCGAGCACAGCCCCACCUCUCACAAGCUCAUGGUCCACCCUGGAAAGGCAUAUAUCAGGCGUGGAAUAUGCGUGGGCGAGCUCACCGUCGAGUGAUGUCCGUGUGCGUAGCAUAUGCCCAAGCUGGGCAUCCGGAGAGAUCGAUCCAGGGGAUAUGCCUGGAUGCGGUGGUGUUCAAGAGCGUGCUGCUUGCGUGUGUUCAUAUCGGGGUGCUGCGGCUUGCGAUUGAGCAGUUUGUGUCGAUGAGCUUUGAUUUUGGGCUUGGGGGAAAAGAGCAUUACAGGUGCGUGCUCAACAUUUUGGCGAGGGUGGGUCAGCUCGAGCUUGCGGAAGAUUUGAUCGCCAACAUGCCGUUUGAGGAUGACAUGGUGGAUUGGGAGGCAUUGCUUGCCGCGUGCGUUGUUCAUAACGAUCGGCAACGAGGGAAAAGACUUGCUGCGACGUUUCGAAGAAGAACUACUGUUGCUCAUGUUUUGCUAGCGCAACACGGUUUUUACAGUCAACGUGAUCAGUGUUUGUCUGGUUUUGAUGUUGCUUGUGGAAAUUAUCGCUCAGUGACAAAAACAACGAGACAAUAGAAUAGAAAACAAGGAUUCAAUAGUUACAAAUCAACAAUGUUUCACACGAUAUAACAUGGUUGAAUUUCCAUUUAAUUACCAAAAACGUAGUCUUCGCACCAUACCAAACAUUGCGGCUGGGGCUCAAAACUGUCCUUUUGGCCACCCUGUCCGUACAUAGACUAUAAAGCUAUGUUCUUCUCUUGGAAUCUCAUAAGCAAUAUUGUUUUCUCUCACAGAAGGAUGGCCACCAACACCCAAGAGUAUAUCUUUAGAUCCAAGCUGCCAGAUAUCGAGCUUCAGAAUCACUUGCCUCUCACGGAGUACUUGUUCCAGCGCCAUCAGGGCAAAGCUUCGAGCCGCCCCUGCCUGAUCGAUGCCGAGGCGGGCAGAGUUCUCAGCUAUGGCGACGUGGAUCUUCUCGCGCGGCGCGUUGGCGCGGGGCUGUCGCGCCUCGGCAUCCGCAAGGGCGACGUCGUCAUGCUCCUCCUCCCGAAUUGCAUCGAAUUCGUGCUCGCGUUCCUUGGCGCGGCGAGAAUCGGCGCCACCGUCACCACCGCCAAUCCACUGUGCACGGCCAGCGAGAUUGAGAAGCAGGCCAACGGCUCCGGUGCCCGGAUGAUCGUGACGCAGGCUGCGCAGAUCGACAAGCUCGAUCGCCUCCUCCACCAGGAUGAUCAAGAGCGCGAAAUAUAUGUAAUGCUGGUGAGCGAUGGCUUCGAUCCCAUCAAGGCCGCGGCGAAGAGCGCCGAUCGCUCCAAUGUGAUGUUCUUCGCAAGCGCGCUGCUCCAGGCCGAUGAAUCCGAGUGCCCGGAGGUGGAGAUCGCGGCGGAUGUGGACGUCGUGACGCUGCCAUUCUCGUCGGGCACCACCUCGCUGCCCAAGGGCGUGGAGCUGACGCACAAGAACCUCAUCACUUGUAUCGCGCAGCUCGUCGAUGGCGAGAACCCUAAUCUCUUCCUCCAUGGCAACGAUCGCAUGCUGUGCGUUCUUCCCCUCUUCCACAUCUACUGCCUCAGCUGCGUCCUCU
rnacentral:lncRNA from 1 species